rnacentral:rRNA from 1 species
AGUGAACGCUGGCGGUAGGCCUAACACAUGCAAGUCGAACGGCAGCACAGAGGAGCUUGCUCCUUGGGUGGCGAGUGGCGGACGGGUGAGGAAUACAUCGGAAUCUACUCUGUCGUGGGGGAUAACGUAGGGAAACUUACGCUAAUACCGCAUACGACCUACGGGUGAAAGCAGGGGAUCUUCGGACCUUGCGCGAUUGAAUGAGCCGAUGUCGGAUUAGCUAGUUGGCGGGGUAAAGGCCCACCAAGGCGACGAUCCGUAGCUGGUCUGAGAGGAUGAUCAGCCACACUGGAACUGAGACACGGUCCAGACUCCUACGGGAGGCAGCAGUGGGGAAUAUUGGACAAUGGGCGCAAGCCUGAUCCAGCCAUACCGCGUGGGUGAAGAAGGCCUUCGGGUUGUAAAGCCCUUUUGUUGGGAAAGAAAUCCAGCCGGCUAAUACCUGGUUGGGAUGACGGUACCCAAAGAAUAAGCACCGGCUAACUUCGUGCCAGCAGCCGCGGUAAUACGAAGGGUGCAAGCGUUACUCGGAAUUACUGGGCGUAAAGCGUGCGUAGGUGGUUAUUUAAGUCCGUUGUGAAAGCCCUGGGCUCAACCUGGGAACUGCAGUGGAUACUGGAUGACUAGAAUGUGGUAGAGGGUAGCGGAAUUCCUGGUGUAGCAGUGAAAUGCGUAGAGAUCAGGAGGAACAUCCAUGGCGAAGGCUCUACCUGGACCAACAUUUGACACUGAGGCACGAAAGCGUGGGGGAGCAAACACG